AACGCAUCUUGCGCUCUCUGGUAUUCCGGAGAGCAUGUCUGUUUGAGUGUCAUGAAUUCUUCAACCCAACUGUUUCUUGUAAACAGCUGGUGUUUGGAUUCUGAGCGCUGCUGGCUUCGUGCCUAGCUCGUUCGUAAUACAUCAGCAUCCCUAAUACAAGUUUGGAUUGACUUGGCGUAAUAGACUAUUCGCUAAGGAUUUAAUGUUCGCAUUGAGCCAACUUAAUUAAGGAAGCUUCUAAUUGAAAAGUCUACCUUUAGAUUAGAUCUCAAAUCAGGCAGGAUUACCCGCUGAACUUAA
rnacentral:misc_RNA from 1 species